rnacentral:rRNA from 1 species
CCAGCAGUUCGGCUGGGCACUCUAAAGGGACUGCCGGUGUUAAACCGGAGGAAGGUGGGGAUGACGUCAAGUCCUCAUGGCCUUUAUGACCAGGGCUACACACGUACUACAAUGGCCGAUACAAAGGGCAGCGACACUGCGAGGUGAAGCCAAUCCCGUAAAAUACGGUCUCAGUCCGGAUUGGAGUCUGCAACUCGACUCCAUGAAGUUGGAAUCGCUAGUAAUCGUGGAUCAGCAUGCCACGGUGAAUACGUUCCCGGGCCUU